UACGGAGGGGGCUAGCGUUGUUCGGAAUCACUGGGCGUAAAGGGCGCGUAGGCGGCGUUUUAAGUCGGGGGUGGAAGCCUGUGGCUCAACCACAGAAUGGCCUUCGAUACUGGGACGCUUGAGUAUGGUAGAGGUUGGUGGAACUGCGAGUGUAGAGGUGAAAUUCGUAGAUAUUCGCAAGAACACCGGUGGCGAAGGCGGCCAACUGGACCAUUGCUGACGCUGAGGCGCGAAAGCGUGGGGAGCAAACGGG
rnacentral:rRNA from 1 species